rnacentral:rRNA from 1 species
GGUGAACGCUGGCGGCGUGCUUAAGACAUGCAAGUCGAACGCAGUCUUCGGACUGAGUGGCGCACGGGUGAGUAACACGUAACUGACCUACCCCCAAGUCGCGAAUAACCAGCCGAAAGGAUGGCUAAUACGUGAUGUGAUGAUCCGCUGUGGCGGAUCAUUAAAGACUUGAUCGCUUGGGGAUGGGGUUGCGUUCCAUCAGCUAGUUGGUAAGGGAAAGGCUUACCAAGGCAACGACGGAUAGCCGGGCUGAGAGGGUGGCCGGCCACAGGGGCACUGAGACACAGGUCCCACUCCUACGGGAGGCAGCAGUUAGGAAUCUUCCACAAUGGGCGCAAGCCUGAUGGAGCGACGCCGCGUGAGGGAUGAAGGUUCUCGGAUCGUAAACCUCUGAACCAACGACGAAAGACCCGACAAGGGAGAUGACGGUAGUUGGGUAAUAGCACCGGCUAACUCCGUGCCAGCCGCCGCAGUAACAC